rnacentral:rRNA from 1 species
GACGAACGCUGGCGGCGUGCUUAACACAUGCAAGUCGAGCGGUAAGGCCCUUUCGGGGGUACACGAGCGGCGAACGGGUGAGUAACACGUGGGUGACCUGCCUCUAGCUCUGGGAUAAGCCCGGGAAACUGGGUCUAAUACUGGAUAUGACUCCAUGACGCAUGUUGUGGGGUGGAAAGCCUUGUGCGGCUAGAGAUGGGCCCGCGGCCUAUCAGCUUGUUGGUGGGGUNAUGGCCUACCAAGGCGACGACGGGUAGCCGGCCUGAGAGGGCGACCGGCCACACUGGGACUGAGACACGGCCCAGACUCCUACGGGAGGCAGCAGUGGGGAAUCUUGCGCAAUGGGCGAAAGCCUGACGCAGCGACGCCGCGUGAGGGAUGACGG